UACGAAGGGGGCUAGCGUUGCUCGGAAUCACUGGGCGUAAAGCGCACGUAGGCGGCUUUUUAAGUCAGGGGUGAAAUCCUGGAGCUCAACUCCAGAACUGCCUUUGAUACUGGGAAGCUUGAGUCCGGAAGAGGUGAGUGGAACUCCGAGUGUAGAGGUGAAAUUCGUAGAUAUUCGGAAGAACACCAGUGGCGAAGGCGGCUCACUGGUCCGGUACUGAUGCUGAGGUGCGAAAGCGUGGGGAGCAAACAGG
rnacentral:rRNA from 1 species